UCUCAUUUCCUGAAGAGAACAAUGAAAGAAAGGGUGAGCUCAACUAGCCCAGUAAGAAAUAUUAUGACUAAGAUAAUGCAGAAUAAAUUAUCCUUAGCCUUCAACAGUAUAACAACUGAUAGAAUAUAAUAGACAACAAGUUUUAGAUCAACAACUGCAGCGGAAUAAGCAAUCCAUUAGAAGAGUCAAGUAGAGCAUAAAAUCUACUAUCUUCUAUGAUUUAAAAAGUUUUUCAUCAACUUUAUCGCUGAGACUCAGCUUAAUAAAUAAAAUCGAAUCAUCCCUGCACCACGGCCAAGGAUAUUCAUGUAAUCAUCAAUGGUCAUGAUUAUACCGAAUAAUCCCUGGUCAUAAUCAUACCAACAACUGUCCAUCAAUGAACUACAGGCCAAUGAGGACUUUUACCACAUCAUUCGUCACAUUACGGUCAUGAUUAUACCGAAUAAUCCCUAGUCGUAAUCAUACCAAGUCCAACUAUGCACGUAAGCCAAAGAUGACUUUCAUCAUAAUAUAAGCAUGAGGAUGAUGACAAUGACAUAAUAAUUCAAUAAAACAAGUUCAAGGAUAGAUUUUAAAGAUUUAUAAUUUAAUUUAUCCAGGAAUCAAUAACGUCCAAAUUGUCAACAUGAUACUGCUUUGUAGAGUAAAAUUCAAGAAUAAUAUUCAUGUACCAAAAAUAAUUUGGACAAAAAGAAAUAUAUUUUUGGGUGAAUAGUACCCCGUGAAUAGUAUUUCGGGAAUAGUACCCCGACACGAAAAAUGUCCCGAAUACCCGAGUAAAUGAUACUAGAGUGAAUAGUAAUUAGGUGAAUAGUAACUCGUGAAUAGUACUUAAGCACAAAAAGUGCACCAAAUACCCGAGUGAAUAAUACUAGAGUGAAUAGUAAUCGGGUGAAUAGUAACCUAUGAAUAGUAACUUGUAACAGAAAAAUACCAAAGAAAACGAUAUUUCAUGACGAGUACAAAAGAAAUGAUAUCCCAGAUGAGUAUAAUAGAAUAUACGAAACUACAAAUGGAUUUUCACCCGCCAUGCGGUAAUCCACGUAGACAGAUCGUUUCCACAAUUUAAUAAAGAAUGAAUACGAAGGAUCAUUCACCAUGCAUGCGGUAAUCCACAUUGACAGGUUAUUCCAACAGAAUAAUAAAGAAUGGAAUAAUAGAAGAAUUCACCAGGCAUGUGAUAGACCGUAGAUACAGGUUAUUCCAACAGAAUAAUAAAGAAUAGAACUAGGUCAUGCGUAAUCCACACAGACAGGAUAUUCAAACAGAAUAAUAAAAAAUGGAAUAACAACAGAAUUCACCAGGCAUGCGAUAGACCGCACAGAUAGGUUAUUCCAACAGAAUAAUAAAGAAUGGAAUAACAGAAGAAUUUCACCAUGUAUACGGUACUUCGCAUAGACAGGUUAUUCCAACAUAAUAAUAAAGAAUGGAAUAACAACCCUUACGAGUAUUGAAAGAAAAUAACUCUCUUCAUGAAUACGAAAGAAUAAUACCGCUUACCUCAGAAGAAACUGGAUACUAGAAUAGUGGGGUAGCAGACUUCUCUUCUUCUUUCUCUCUAUAAUUUCUCUCUAUAAUAAUUGCUCUGUAGAUUUAGUAAAUUGGUGAGAAAUGAAGGAAGAAUGAGCUUCUAUUUAUAGGAAAAUAUAGUUUUGAUAAAUGCACAUUUUGGGGCUCGAAAUAUUAUAGUAUAAUACCUCCCUAUUUUUCUUCAUUUUUAAUUUAGUCCUGCAAGUAUUAUCAAACUUGCACCACCUCCCCUAAUAGUAAAUCAUGUGACUCAAUAGUUCCAAACAUGUGAAAAAAACAAUUACAGUAUAGUACCUUCAUCUAUACCUCCAUUUUUAAUUUAGUCAUACAAGUAUUAUCUAUCUUGCACCAACUCCCCUAAUAGUAAAUCAUGUGAAUCAAUAGUACACACAUGUGAACACAUAGUUAUAAGCAUGUGAAUUAAUAGCAAUUAAUUGCUCAUUUAUUUGGUUAAUUACCCGAUUGGUCAAUAUAACCUCCAGACAUCAAUUAUUAUCGAAAUAAAUGUCGAUUUUCACUAACACUAAUAAUUUCAACACAAUGGAACUAUCAAUUUCAUCUUUAAUCAACACGAACUUAUUCAUCAUUAAUAUUAUAAUUCACAAUAUUUAACAACCAGGUCGUUCCAAGGAAAAAAGUGUCUUUCCGAUAAGGAUUUCUCCUUAUUGGCGCGCAAUUAGGUGACCAAACCUCUGCUUGAUAGAACUUCUAGACAUUGUCAAUAUUGCAAAUAAUAAUAUGAAUAACUUUGUCGUCUCAAUUAUUAAUUUAAUAAUAUAACAUAUUAUACAGAUGAUACUAUGACAAUAAUUAAAUCAAUAAUAUGAGAGAUAUGAUGCAGCAAUUACUGUAGCAAUAAUUGAGUAUAACUGAGUGACUUCUUACGUAAGUAUUAAUAAUCAAUAUCGUGUGCUACUAUACAACCACGCGUAUUACUGUACUUUUACUACCGGGUAUUUUAUGACAACUUGCUUAUUUUGAAAAAUUUUAAAAUAUUACCCUUCACUUUAACCUUUUAUCAAUUUAACCAUUUACUAAAUAAAAUAAUAAUUAUAAAAAUUGAAUUCUUUUAUUUUAUAAAAUUUGGGGUCUCACAUGUGAUAUUUGUAUCAAUCUUUAUAAAUUAUAAAGUGUAGUAUUAAAUUGUGUAAGCUUGUACUUGAAUAAAUCAGUGAAUUGAUUGUCAAUUUGUAUUACAUUCUUUGUAAUUUCUUUAUAUAAAUAAAAGUAAAAGACAUUUAUAUAUAAACAUUAGUUCAACCCUGCAUAUCUCAAUCGACUCAACCCUACUCUGCAACAAUGAGAACUAGGCGUGCCAAAUAGCUCCGUGAUGAAUUUGAGGACGAGUUCUCACCCCCUUCUCCACCGUCUCAACCUCCUGCCACUACAAAAAUGAAACGAAAGCAAUCCUCUGUUACUAUCAUCUCCGCUGAAUCAUCCCCUGCCAAAUCUGAAGCGAGCUUGCCUUCUCUUCCACCAAUCAGGACAUCGACUGGUACCAAACGACGAUAGCUCAAAGACUCUUCACCUGGCUCACCUUCGAUAAUGGUAACUCCUCUAUCCGUUUCCUUGCAUAAUGUUCCUGAAGAGUUUUUUAGAGGUCAUAAUUUUGAACUUCGGUUUAAGUCUUUUAUCUGUCAAAAAUCCUUCGUCUAUGAAAAAUCAGUUGACAUGAUUUACUACCAAAACUCGCCUUUUCAACAUCUCCUUGAGUCAUGUGGUCUAUCUUCUUUAAGUGCUCCUCCCUCAGUAGCUUACCCAAAAUUAGUCCAGCAAUUUUAUACAAACCUUGAAAAUAAUGAGGACUGCUCCAUCUCGUUUGUUAAAGGUAAAUCUCUGUUCUUUACUGCUAUAGAUUUAGGGAGCAUAUUGUCAAUUCCAUACACCGACGACUGUCCCUUUACACUUAAGGGACCCAUUUCUACUCCUUUGUCUCCUCUUGUCCAGCUUCGCAUUGUCAUGGAUGACCCAACUGUGUCCAUCGUCACCCUUCCUAAAACCACCGAAGUAUCUCCUAUUGCAAUAGUCCUUCACAAAUUGCUAAGGUAUAAUCUUCUCCCUCGUCUCGGUGGUGGAGCUGACUUCACUUACCAGGAUUUGGUUUUGGUGGCCUUAAUAAUGACAGCCCAACCAUUCAAUUUUUCCCACAUGAUGCUCAAACACAUGGUUAACUACAUCAAACAUUCCAAAAAGUGCUUGCCUUACAGCUGCUUCCUCGCAAAAUUAUUUACUCACUUUUAAAUUCCACUCGACAAUGAGGGUUCCAUCCAAAUAACUGAUUCCAUCAACUCUAACUAUCUCAAAGGUGCUCAUAUCACACUUCUUAAAGGUAAGUUCAUACGUAUGGUACCCAAAAUUCCAAAUCCCACACCUCCUACUUCACUACCACCCUCCACUGAGAUUCUUAAUAUUCUGUAUACCAUCGCGAACAAUCAAGCCACAAUCACUGUUGAUGUUAAAGAUAUCCAACUUCAUCUUUCUGUGCUUGAAAAAGGCAAAGUCCCUAUUCGUCGCAAUGAUAUUCAUUCUAUUUUUCGCAAUGUCGAGGAUGAGUUCAUUGACCUCCAAGCUGGAUUCGAGUUGCACACUCGAGCUAUGGUAGAAGCCCUGCAAAGGAAGAUGAACCGAAAUGCCUGUCAAUUGAGCACUAAACUUAAAUUCAUCAGCAAUUAGAUUGGGACUCUUGGACGCUUUACCGAACGCCGCAUGAAUGACCUCAGUGAAGAUCUGUAAGCAUACCAAGUCCAAUCUCGCAUACCUGAAUGGACACAAUGCAAUUGGAUGGCCGAAUAUCAAGGCGACUUUUUGGACUUGCCUUUACCACCUCCUACCUUCCUUGCUCGUCCUCCCAGAUUUUCCAACACCAUGUCCCUGGAAGAGAUUGAACACCGCAGGCUCCACCGACCAUAUUUCACUUCUCGCGAAGCCAACCACAUUCAUAUUAAUGAGGAAGAUGAUUAGACACCCUGCCCUUUUUUUGGCUUUCUGGAUGCCUCUUUUUGAUGGAUGCCAAAGGGGGAGAUGAAUUAUGCUUGCUUGCUUUCAAGACAAUCUUUUAAAUUUUUACUUUUCAUGCAUGAUGACUUCUGGUUUAAAGACUAUGGUUUAAAUGGUUGUUAUAUUCCUUUUGUUUAAUAGUCUCUGGAUGAUGGUUUAAUAGUUUAUUAUAUUCCAGGUUAUUAUAUUCCCUUUGCUUAACAUGUUGAGGACUAACUAGACAAUGCGGGGUUAAUCAAACACUGUAUAUUUCCAGUCAACAUGUUAAUUCUAAACAGUAGGGAUAUGCAUGAAUUGAGGGGGAGUCUUAAUUCUUUUGAUAUACAUGGUUUUAGGGGGAUUCAUAAUUAUUUUGUUGUCAUCAUCAAAAAUGGGGGAGAAUGUUGACUUAUGUCACACUCCAUGUUUUGAUGAUGACCUUAUUAUUCCAUUAAUCAUGCUAUAUCACAUUUCAGGGAAAGAUAUGACAUUUCAGGAACAUCAAGGAAGAAGGUUCAAAUUCAAAAUGUCCUUGAAGAAAGAAAAGCAAAUUUGAGUCCUAGGAAUCUACGUAAGAUCUUAGCAUUUAUUACUUUCCAAAAUAAGGCUCUAGGACAUGUGCAUUGCAUAUAUACUCGUAUUUGAUGUCACAUGUUAAUUAACUAGCUCAUAAUAUAUAUGGCCAAAACUGCUCGACAUAAGUUAAGGAAUCAAAUCUUGUUAAACAACAUAUAUACGGUAGAGCAAGAAAAUUGAUUGAAUAAAUUACCAUAAGUUAUGCAUCAAUCUAAGUUCACGGUAGUAGGAGUCAGGCAUCAUAAUAUUGUCCCACGAUUUAAGGAAUCUAAUUGGGUGUAUCCAACGGUCCAAUAUAUGGUAAGAUAUAUGGACACCGACCAACAGAUAUUUUAUGGUAAGCCCAAAACAUGACAUAGAUCAUACAUCAUAAAUCAUGUUUCAUGUUUCAUGAAUCAAGGUCCUUUAUUCUGAGCAAUCAAAUAAGGUAACCAGCUAAUCUCAUGCGUAAUAUAAAAGCUAAAAUUAAGGAACAUUACUAGAGUGUUAAAGAAAAUCUGCUCCGUGAUGAUAAUUGAUUAUAUCCGGUAAUUAUCAAAAAGAAAGCUGCCAUAUGACAAGAUGGCUACUAAAUGCAGAAAUAAUAGAAGAUAUAGACUAAGAAAGAUUUCCUCAGUCAUCACUAUAAUACGCCUAUAUUGUAUUCUAAAUCAUGACAUGUCCUAUACUAAUAGACAUAUAUAUGAUGUCUUGAUCUUUGGCAUGAUAUCCGGAUGACAGUCUAUGUAUUACGUAACUUGUGUAUAUUGUCUAACGAUCAUAUCUCACAUAGACAACAAGCAACGAUAAUACAUUAGAAAAGCCUAUAAAUGAACUGAUUUCUUUAACGAAAAAGACACGAAAAACAUAUACAGUAUCUUCAAAGCUUACAAGCCACAAAGCUGUUUUUCUCCUUAAUCGAUAUUGAUUGCAUUAAGAAAAGAGCUUCAGUUAAGAAGAUCGUAUAGAACAUACUCUGGUAAUAUUCUUCUUGCAUAUCAUUUCAUACUAGAGCCUUAAGUUGGUAAGUGAUAUAUUGCUUGAUUAUUAGACCUCUAGUGUGUAUCUUAAUUUUCCUUAUCUCAAUCAAUAUUGUGUGUAAUUCUGUUUGGGUUGAUAAUUCAUUACAGUCAAGUUUGAGGAAAGCAUAGGUGUUUAAGAGUGCAUAGGUGCACAGGGAACAAAGGUGUUCAAAUUGCUAGAACUUGUAUUGUAAUUGGAAGAGUUUAAUAAAAGUGAGUCUCCAAUACUAGUUGGUAUUGGACGUGGAUUAGGCUAAUAUUCUAGAGGGUAGUAGUUAAACCACGUAAAAAUUCUGGUGUUUAUGUGAUUACAUUUUGUACUUUACUAUUCUGAUAUCUAUCCAGCAGCCUGCAUUCUAUAUCCACUUAUAUCAGUAAAUCGGUUGAUUCAAAAUUAAAUAAUAUCCUGAUAAUCCAGCUUGCUGCAUUAAAUAUCCAAAGAAAUUUUUAUAAAUAACAAAAGUUGGACAUAGUUUGUGCCUACACUUAUUCAACCCCCCCUUCUAAGUGUACCUAUUUAAAUUUCAUUUGGUAUCAGAGCUUGGCUCUACUUAUCUUGGUCUUAAAGGUGACUUGUAGGGAAAGAUUCUGACAUGGCACAACUUGGAAACGCUCAUCACNNNNNNNNNNNNNNNNNNNNNNNNNNNNNNNNNNNNNNNNNNNNNNNNNNNNNNNNNNNNNNNNNNNNNNNNNNNNNNNNNNNNNNNNNNNNNNNNNNNNNNNNNNNNNNNNNNNNNNNNNNNNNNNNNNNNNNNNNNNNNNNNNNNNNNNNNNNNNNNNNNNNNNNNNNNNNNNNNNNNNNNNNNNNNNNNNNNNNNNNNNNNNNNNNNNNNNNNNNNNNNNNNNNNNNNNNNNNNNNNNNNNNNNNNNNNNNNNNNNNNNNNNNNNUCUAUUCAAAUUUCAAAUAGUUCAGUAUUAAGUGAAAUGGUUUAUAUUCAAAACUCGAUUUGAAGGCUCGUGAGUAGCUCGUUUUGUAAACGAGUCGAGUACUUACGAGCCGAGUAGGUCCGAGUAAUGAUCCGAGUAGAAUUUGACACAAAAUUAGAAAUUCCUUAUCGAAUUCGAGCUCAAUUUUUUCGAGUUGAGCCGAAUUUGAGCAUUAGAGUGUUCGUUGAGAUUCGACUCGUUUUCACCCCUAUUCACUAUAUACCAUUAAUAUAAUCGCAGGAAGUUAUAUACUACAAUAAUAAUAAUAUUAAUAAUAAUAAUAAUAAUAAUAAUAAUAAUAAUAAUAAUAAUAAUAAUAAUAAUAAUAAUAAUAACACUAUAAUUUCUGCUUAUAUAUGUCAAAUACUUACAAAAUUAUGAUAUUUAUCUUACCUAUUCUUUAAUUUAUUUAUUUUGCCUUGGAAUAUAGUAUAAGUUAUUCUUUUCAAUUAUCUUCUUCUUUUGCAGCAAAUAAUUAAUGGGUGAUUGAACACUUUUUUGAAGGAAAUUGGUAAUGAAAUAAUUAAAUGACAUAUUGAUGAUCAUACAUGAUCAAUAUAUAGAAGAUUAUAACGUAAAUUAAUAGUCAAGUUAAUUAAUUAGUUUUUCAAUAUUGGACAUUUUAAAAUAAGGAAUAAUUAAUGCUAUUGUUUCCCGAAAAUCUACUGCUUUUUUAUUUUGUAAAAAAAAAAGAAUUGAUAUAAUAAUUAGCGCUUGUGGAAAAAAGGGGAAAAAAGAAGUCAAACAGGUCUUUCCAUACUAACGAACUUAUAUAUCACAGAAUAAAACGACAAAUUAGUGUGUUAUUAUUAUAAGAUAAUAUAUUUGUAUUUCAUGCAUAAAUAUUUAUAUGAAUAUUUAGAGAUAAAUUUAUAAAUAUAUAUAUAUAUAUAUAUAUAUUCAAAUAUUCAUAGUUACGUUAUAUAAAUAUUCAUAGCUACUUUAUAUAUAUUUAGUUUAAUAUGGAGAUUUAAGAUCUAUAUACCACUGAGUCAUUCUAAUUUAUUAGUUAACUAAUCUACCGUCAUAUACAUGAGCAAAUGAGAGGCAAAUGAGUAAUUUCUCAUGUCGCUACAGCCUGUAGCAGGAGGGGGAAAUCCAUUUCAAUCCGUGUCAUCCAAUGUUGCGAUCAAGAAUAUUCUAUUUGUACCCGUGAUAACCGAUUGCCAAAAAUGGGGGCCCAUAUAUAUAUAGCCGUGUAUAUUCUAUUCGUGCGUAGUCUUUUAAAACUACAUCGUUUUGGCAUAUUUAUUUUUGAUUUAUGAUUUGGGAGGAGAGAAGCUGUUUUUUUAAUAAAUAAAUAAAAAUAUGUCAAAACGACAUAGUUUUGGCAGACUAUGCACAAAUAAAUUAUACACAGCUGUGUAUGACCAUAUUGCUCUAUAUAUUAACUUACCAAACUAUAAUUAUUAACUUGUUGCAAUUUUUUUACUUAAAAAACUUAAUUGCGAUGUCAAGAGGCGGGAGCAAUAGACAAUAUAAUUUUGAAAAAAAAAGAAUUAAAUAUUCAAUGUAAACUUUUGAAUUAUAUAUAUAUGUAUAUAUACAUAUAUAUUAAUAACUUAUAUUCAAUAAUUAGUAAGUCAUAUAUAUAUAAUUAAUUAUAUAUAUAUAUAGGUAUUAGCUUGUUAUAAAUUUUGUACUUUCAAAAUUUACUUGCGAUAAUAGAAGGCAAUAACAAUGGAUAAUAUAAUUUUAUUAUUAAAAUGUAUUAGGUUCGAAUUAAUUUAGAAUUAAUGAACUAUACUUUAAAAUUCAUUAUUUUUUUCUUAUUCUAUUUAUAAUUGUAAUUAGAGCAUUCAUUUUAAAAUUAAAAUUUAGAAUUUCAAAAAUGAUAAAAUUUAUUUGAAUUAUAAUUUAGAUUAUUUAUUAUUGUAUUUAUUAAAAAUAAAUAAAUUAGCAUUCAUUCAUUAAUAUUAUAUUUUAAAACUCAUUAUUUUUUUCUUAUUCUAGCUAUAGUUGUAAUUAAAGUAUUCAUUUUAAAAUUUAAUAUUUCAAAAAUGAUAAAAACUUACUCAAAUUAUAAUUUAAAACAUUAAUUAUUAUAUUUAUUAAAAAUAAUAAAAUUAACAUUCAUUUAUUAAUAAAUUUUACUUUGAAAUUCAUUAUUUUUUUUUAUUCUAGUUAUAGGCUUUUAUCUUUUGCUAUAAACCAAAAAGAUAUCUAGAUCUAUAUCUAAUCUUCUUCUUCUUAAUGUUUGCUGAAGAGAUGGAGGAGGAGGAUCGCAGUGAAGAAGGCAGCGUUAGGGUUUAGGGUUUCUGGAUUUGUGUUUUGUUUGAUUUCUUUCUUAGUGAUGGCUGCUGACCAGAGAAAGGGCUGGGCUCUUGAUUCCUUUGACUGGUACAUUGAUUCAGGUUAAUUAAUCUCUUCUCUUUUCCACUCUCUAUAUUUGUGCAUUAAUUUGUAGGUGACUUUGAGUGUUAGGAUAAAUUGGGCAGGUACUGUUUGACAUUGAAUGUGAUCGGAUUUGUGUACUCAGCUUUACAGGGAUUAAAUCUUGCUUACCAGUUAUCCUCUGGUAAACUUAUUUCCAGCUCUCAUCUCCGCUAUGUAUUUGAUUUCGCCUUUGAUCAGGUGCAUUCUCUGUUUUACUCUUCUUUCCAUUAUUGUGCCUAAUCUACUUGGCUAUGAUUUUUGUACCGGUUAAUUUACUUUUUUUAGUUUUGUACUCCAUGUUGAGGAGUGUAUCUUUGUAUCUUAAAGUGAGAAGUUUUGCAUUUAUAAUGAAAAUCACUUCAAUUUUGGUAUAUAGAUACAUAUGCUAUAUGAAUUUAGUCUCUGUUUUGAAGAAAUGAGACGAUUUUCUUGCUAGUUCUCAAACACUAACAGUAGGCCACUUGCUAGCUAGGCACAUGAUCUGUAUUAUAAUCCCUCCGUUCCACAAAAAGACUUCCAUUUACAAAUGUUAAGGAUGUACAUUUGUUUCAUGUUUACCCCUAAAAUAAAAAAAUUGUUAGCUAAGUAGUAGUGGCGUGAUAAUGAAAUCAUGAUGACAGACUUGAGGUCGUUUUGUCAUUUUAUACUACUAUUAAUAAAAUGAAACUCUUUUUGUGGAAUUUUUCUUUUGUACAAACUGGAAUCUUUUUGUGGAAUGGAGGGAGUACUUAUAUUAUUGUAUCCUUUUGCUGCUCAAAGUAGUUCUUGUAAUCAAAUCUGGUCACUUCGAAUAAAAUCAAAUCACAUCCUUUGGUUUUGGUGACAUAAAAUCAAAUAUAGCUUGCAUUGUGAUCCACUUCUAAAAUAGAUAUUGCAACACACUCUAAUGAUUUUAAAACCCACUCCUGGUGCUGCUAGUUCUUUGAGAUUGAGUUACCACAAUAAGCUUCAAGCACCACAUUCAUGCCCAUAAUAAUAAUGCAACUCCUUUUACCAGAAAAGGCCUCACGGCGUAUAUGUCAUGGAUGUAAGUUGGGAAAAAACCAUGCUAACGAUUAAAAAUAUUUCUGUUAAUAAUAUUUUGGGUAAUUUUAUAUAUUUGAGCAUAAGACUAAUCAGCCCUCUUAUCAGCCUUACAUUUGUUAGAUUAAACUUUUAGACUUAUUAUUUUGUCUUUCCAUCCUAUCUGUGAUUUUUUUUCCUGGGAAAUGAAUUUAAUAAGAAGGUAUUUGAUAUCUAUAUGAAAUGUUGUUAAAAUGUUUUAAUAGUUUUUGGGUUUUAUUUAGAAUAUGCAAUAUGGAAAUGGUAAAUAGUAUAGAAUCUGAUGUCAUGCAUUUAGCCUUUUUUUGGUAUUUGAUAGCUAUAUAAAAUGUUGUUAAAAUAUUUUAAUAGUUUUUUGGUUUUAUUUAGAAUAUGCAACAAUGCAAUGGUAAAUACUAUAAAAUCUGACUUCAUGCAUUUAGACUUAUUUGAUGGCAUUAAUUUAGAAGCUGGGAUAAAUUUGAAUUAGUGAGGACAGGAAAUUUAAAAUUAGAAUGAAAAAUAUUACUUUUCUUCUUGUUUUCUUUUAAUGCCACGGGGGUAGUAAUUGAAGACAUUGUUAGGUACUUUAGGGUGGCAUUUCUCAAUUUCUAUUGUAAGGAGUUUGUUUUUCUGUAAAUAUCAGCAAGAUGAAGAGUGUUUGUAGUCACUCCAAGUUACUUUCUCUUAGCAAUUAGUCGGUGACGUAUACGCCGUGAGGCCUUUCAAAUAACUAAAACCAAAUAAUACCAGAAAAGAUCAUUAUGCCAGUAAGAGCUCCUUUAAUUUGCAGCCUGUUUUCUUUUUCUAUUUUUUUUGUUUUUGUGCUUUUUCCUUUUCAUUUACUUGAAAGUAUGCUAAGUAUCUAAUCCAAGAUCUCUUUGGCCUGCAAAUUCUUUUCCUUUCUAUUUCAAUUGUUUAAUAUUUUAUUUUGGUUAUUAAUGGUAUGUGUGAAUAUGGGCUAGAAUUAAUAAUGGUGGCACCAUAAUUGAAAAUUUUAAGCCAAUUUUCUCCAUUUUCAGAACUUGAUCUAUGCUCCCAAACACAUUGUUACCUUCUUGUCAGAUAUAGUUGCAAAGAUGGUGUACAAGCUGUAAAUUACUGAAUUUCUCAGGCAUAUUUGUUUAUUUCAUUUAGUCCACACGUAAAAUUAUGUACUUGACAUUCAGGAUGUUUGAAAUUGAAUAUAUCUUGUUUCUAUAUUUGUUGCGACAAAUAAUGAAGGUACUGCAUGCUAUCAACUAAAUGUCAUUCCACUUCAGUUUGAACGACGGAUAAGAAGAGAAAGCCAUUGGACAACCAAAUCUCCAGAAUCAAUCACUCCAGACAGAAUUGAUAUGGGCAGCUAUGAAGAUUGUGUAAGGUGUGUAAAAUUUUGAUUUGCUUUGGGUCAUGAUUUUUUUUAGAAUAUGCAUGAACAUAUAUAAAUAUAGCAAAGCCAAGUCUUACAUAGAGGAUUACACCCAGAAUUAAAACCAUAUACUGGAACUUAAAGUACAUAAACAAAAUCAACUAUUACAAUGAAAAUUAAUAGCCCUCCUGGCCAAAAGAUGACCUGUUGCACCUCUUUCGUCGAGCUUUAUUACUCAUCAGACAUUUAUUUAUAUGUGAAGCUCAACCACUUGGUUUAGAUGCCUUAGAUAAUGGAACAGGAAAUCAAGCUGAUACCAAGGUUGGCAAUGUUUAACGCGCUCUUAAAUAUUUUUAAUGCCUCCCUCCAUGGGAUAAAAUUUUGAAAGCAUGUUGAUUCAAAUUAACAUGGUACUAAAUAGUACUACUGCAUUAGCAGAAUCAUGCAUUUCCUCAUACUCAUAAUAUAAGUUCAUGAAUUGAAGAAAUAAAAAUUUAGAACUCACAUCAGUAUUUCUUUUUGUCUUUCUGCUUCUAGAAUGGUUUAUCUUUAUUGAAUUAUACUACUGUAAGAUUUUCUUAAACAUUUAAAACUGUCAAUUACACAUUAAUUGUUAGUCUUGAUUAUCUGAAUUUAGGGUAACUAUGUUUCUAAAUCUUGGUUUUAUAUUGUUGAUAAUAGUUUAUUUUUAGAUAUGCAUUAUAUUUACUUUUAUGUUCUGAUUGAGUUUGGGCAUCAUGACCUCAUUUUAGUUUAUGAGAGGUUAGAUCGGUGAAGAAAUAGCAAUCCAAUGGAGUUAGUUAUCUAUUCUAAGUUAUAAGCAAGGAAGAACAAUAACCUUUAUAUGAUUAACUUGCAGGUCUUUGUGGCUUCUACAUUAAAAGUUCCAGGACCAUGGCAGAUGCCUUAGGUGAUGUGUUAUGUAUGCAUUAUCUUUCGGAUUUGAGCAUAUAAUUUCCAUAUGGUACACCUAAAUAUUGCUGAGGCUUGGUGCCUUCUUGGUUCUUAGUUGCUGAGAGGGUUGACACCUAGACAUGCAGUUCUUCAUGACCUCACUUGGGUAAUUCUUGAAAGAUGCAUUUUGAUUAUAGCAUCUCAUAGAAUCUCAUAUUUUUAUAAAAUUUUCUAAGUAAUUGUAUCUACUCAUUUUUGAGCUUUUAUUUUUGGGAGGAAUUGAAGACGGUGAGGAGCCAACAUAUGAUACAAUUAUGGAUUUGCGAGAAGAAACUGGAAUAUUGCCUGCUAAAAAUUUUGUUGAGGUUCGUUUCUCAUGCUCUACUUUUUCCUUUCUCAUGACACGGAAGUGAUUACCAUGUGGAAGCUAUAUAAAUUUAGGUGGUGUUAUGUUGCAAAAGUAUAUGUAUAUAUCAACAUUUAUAGUCGCACUGAAGGUUCAUGAAAUGGCCGAUUAAGAUUGCAAUUUUUUCUUGUAACAAAGCAAUCAUAUAGUCGCACUGAAGGUUCUUUUUCUAUUUUGAUUUGUAGGAAAUGAUAUUGUGAUUGCCUAUUUGUCUUUUUUUGCUUAUGAGCAAUACGGUGUACAUUAGUACCACGUAGUAACGCUAUUGUCUUUGUGUAUUUAUUUUGGCACUAAGUGCAUCUGGUGACCUAUUUGUUUCAUUUUCCUGACUUGCUAUUAUUUUCAAAUAUGUGCAGGAAGACUGCUUCUACGACCUGCCUUACAAUACUGGGUAUCAAAUUUCCGUGCUACGUUUACGGAAGAAAAGGGUCAAAAUUAUGAAGUGUACUCUCUCUAUAUAUGUAGAUAUAUACUUUGAUUGAAGAACUGUGGUAGCUUUAGAUGGUUAAAUGUAAAGAUAAUGAAUGAUUAUGUAGUGGAUGAUUUUAUUAAGUUAAUAAUAUUUUAGUUUUUUUGUAUUUUUGCCAUUAUUUUCUAUGGGGACAUUGAGCCAACCAAGUACACAAAAAGAAUGUCAAAUUUUGAUUUGGCAACAAUAUAAUUCGUUACCAAAGCAUUGAACAAGUUUUAAUCUAGCAACAAUUUUUUAUACAUUUAGCAACAAAUUUUUGUUGCUAAUGGCAUUAAAAAUAUAAUAUUUGGCAACAAAAAAUUAACCUAAUAACAACGGAGAGGAUAUUGUUGCUAAUACUAACAUAAAAGGCAACAUUUUUAUCGUUGCAAAUUAUAUCAACUUUUGUUGCACAUAUAAAGAAACAGCAACAUAUAAUGUCGUUGCUAAUCGACGACUUUCGUUGCUAUUAAAAAAUAACCAGCAACAAACAUUUGUGUUGCUGAUUCAGCAUAGUAUCGUUGCCAAAUAAUAUAAUCAGUAAUGAAAAUCGUUGUUAAAAAGUUUACAUUCCGCAACGAAAGCAAGCUUAGGCAACAAUUUUCAUAAUUUACUACAACCAAAAACGUCGUUGCAAAAUGGUGUCAAUUACAACGAAAAUGCAUGAUCGUUGAAAAAAAAAAAAGAGUUCAUUUCGUUCCCAAUUAGCGGGCUUUUGCAACGAAAUGGGGUUUUUAGCAAUGAAAUUUUAAUUAUUCUGCAACAAUACAUUUUGUUGCUAAAGGAUCGAUGUCUCUGUAGGAAAGCCAAAUUUUGUAGCAAAAUGAAUUACUUUUGGGAACGAAAAAAAAACGUUUGUUGUAGAACAAUUAGCAACGCUCAUUGCGCAACGAAAGAUACAAUGAUAGUAUAGUCGUUGCCAAAACCCCUUUGCAACGAAAUUUAGCACCUUUAAUAAUGAAAAUCCGUUGUUGUUGAAGGCCCAUUUUUUUUAGUGAUGCCUAUUUUGCAUAUUUGAAUAAUUUGAUUUGCCUUGGUUCAACAUAUCCAUUUUCUGCCUUUUUCUGUUAUAUGAUUUGGUUCAAUUUGGUUCAGAUAUAUGAAAUGGUUAAGCAUAUCCAUUUUCUGCCUUAUGGAUUCUAGCAUUGUGAAUUGCAUUAUGUGAAUCAAUUGAAGACUUGUCUUAUUUGGGUGUUGAAUUAUUUUUGACAGAAUUUCCGUGGAAGUUAUAGAUGGUAUAAAUCAAUACUUAACUAUAAAAGACAAUUAGGACUUAGUUUGACACUUAAAAAAAGUAAAAAAACACAACUAAGUAGCAUUUACUUAGUUGACUACCACUGAAAUAAUAUAUAUAUAUAUAUAUAUAUAUAUAUAUAUAAAGUAUAACAUAAAUAAAUAUUGUAGUAAAUAUAAUGCAAGAAAAAAAGAUAAAAAAUCAAUAUAAUAUAAUACAAAAUAAAUUUCAAUGAAAAUAAAAUAAAAUAAAAUAAAAUAAUAUAACUAAAAUAAAUAAUUUAAGUUAUUUUUUAAAAUUAAAUAAUUUAAUUAAAUUAAAAUGAUAUAAUAUAGAAUAAAAUAAAAUAACUAAAAUUAAUUAAUUAAUUAAUUAAACUAAAUAAUAUAAUAUAAUACAAAAUAAAAUAAAAUAAAAUAAAAUAAUUAAUUAAGGUAAAUUAAAUUAAAUAAUAUAAGACAAAAUAAAUAAAAUAAAAUAAAGUAAAAUAAAAUAAAUUAAUUAAUUAAGGUAAAUUAAAUUAAAUAAUAUUAUACAAAAUAAAUUAAAUAAUAUAAAAUAGCUAAAAUUAAUUAAUACUGCAAAGGGUGUUAAAGUUGAUCGUAAUAGAAUCAUCACAGUAGUAUAAAAUCCAAGUUACAUUCUGAUGACGUAUUUGUGUUAGCCAGCCAAGCAACUCAAGUGUAUUACGCCCCUAAUGUCGUAAAUUAUAGAAGCCCCUGGUAUAUAGCUGUGACAACAAAGACUCGAUCAUUUGAUGGUACUAAUCUGUCUGGAACGGAUGACCCGCUACAAGAAGAAUUUAGCAAUCCCAGCCACGUAUUCCAAUAUGAUGGUGACGUGUUGGUAGAUGAUGUUGUUGACGUAACCGAUGUUGACGAAGUGGAAGAAGAUUUGGUUGUCAGUCCGUACGUGAUGGUAGAAAAUGAUACUGAGGAAGAAGAAAUUGAUACAGAAGAGGAAGAGACAGAAUUAGAGGAUAAAAAUGAUUUUGAUUCCGACGGGUUUGACGACGUACUACUUCUUCAGAACUUGGUGUUUUAUAAAUAUUAUACAACUAAAAAAAAUCAUUAAAAUAAUUUCAAUAAAAUUUCACUAAUACAAAUUUAUGUCUGUUAUUUCAGUAGUACAGUUAUGCCUAGACAUAGCGGUGGAGGAGGCCGAGGUGGCGACCGCGAUGGAUCGGGUGACGUCUCCCAGGGCGGGUCGUCUUUGUCAGCUAGUGAGUUAACAUUUUUUUUCAUAACUAUAUUAAACAUUCAUUUACUAUAAUAUAUCAGUGUCAUAACUAUAUUAAACAUACAGAUGCUAGAAGUCGACGUCAGCGAGGGCCUAACCUCGGUCUAUUAGGUCGUCCACCAAUGGAUCCUGACACUACAAGAAAAUCGGCUAAUUCUGACUGACGUAUCCUCGACGGAUUAAAUUCAGUUGAAAUAGGAUUACUUCCGAGGGAAUAAUACAUGGGAUAUAAGUCCCUCGAAAAUAACAUAAUUCUUACGAAAUUCUGUCGAACUUAGACCUCUCCAAUUAGUGCCAAAUUUUGCGCCACUGCGAAAAGUAAUUUCGACGAACAAACAUUAAUUCCGAGGGACGUUUCGUUGAAUUUAAGUUAUUUUCGAGGGACUUAUUACAGAUGGACAUUCCGUGGGAUAUAACAAAUAUAAACUUUUCAGCUUCUGCCUUUUUAUUUCAGACGCUCUCAUUCAUUUCUCUCUCUCAUUCGAUCUCUCUAAUUCUCUCUCACUCUCCUUCCCUCUCUCAUCCCCCUGCCCCUACCCAUCCGGUCACCGGUCCCCCUCCCCCUCCCCUGCCACCGUUCCCCCCCACUGCCUCCCCCAGGUCUCCCCACUCUGCUCCGGUACCCCCACUCCCUCCCCUAGCCGGUCCCCCCACACUGCCCNNNNNNNNNNNNNNNNNNNNNNNNNNNNNNNNNNNNNNNNNNNNNNNNNNNNNNNNNNNNNNNNNNNNNNNNNNNNNNNNNNNNNNNNNNNNNNNNNNNNNNNNNNNNNNNNNNUCUCUAUAGAUUCCAAAUAACAAUUCUCAUAAACUAAGUACCACUUACUUAGUUUAUCAUUGGCAAAAUAAACUAAGUAGCAUUUGCUUAGUUUGCCACAAUUUUCAAUAUAUAAAUGCAAUAAUACUCUCCCUACACAUAUGUACUCUUUCUUGUAUGCAGGUUUCGACAUAGCAGUUGCAGCUAAUAGUACUCUAACCGGUUCCUCGACAACAAUUAAAAAAAAGGGGUCGUAGUUCCUAUUUGUGUCCUAUACUCGAAUAAUAAAGGUAAUUGAAUUACUGCAGACAUUCUUCACUGUUCCAUCAUAACAGAUGGCAACAUCCGAAAGGAGUGCCAGUAAGUUGUUGAACAAAGUUCUAGGUUAAGCAACCCUCUAGAUGAGCGAACGAUCACUUUGCUCAUAGGAAUGAAUAAUCUCCCCAUAUGUAUCCAAUCCAUGAUAUAAACAGCUUCUCACCACUCCGAAUUCAUCAGAUGGGUAGUUCUCACAUAACGUCUCACCUCUUGUAUGAGAACUAUUCAUUUGAGGAAUUCGGAGUGGUGAGAAGCUGUCUAUAUCAUGGAUUGGACCCAUAUGGGGAGAUGAUUCAUUCCUAGCAGAGAAGUGAUCGUUCGUUCAUCUAGAGGGUUGCUUAAGCUGAAACUUUGUUCAAUAGCUUAAUGGAACUCCUUGGGGAUGUUGUCAUUUGUUAUGAUGGAACAGUGAGGAAUGUUUGCAGUAAUUGAAUUAACUUUAUUAUUCGAGUAUAGGACACAACAGGAACUACGACCCUUUUUUUUCCCAGUUGCCGACUCAAGUAGAGAUUCCAUAUAACAAUUCUCAUAAACUAAGUAGCAUUUGUUUAGUUUGCCACAAUUUUCAAUAAACUAAGUAGCAUUUUCAAUUAUAUAUGUACUAUACUUUGAAACUUAGAAACCCGUUUGACAUACACUCAGUAGAGGUGAAUGUCGAACAGUCCCCAGUUUGGGACUGUUAUUGGAUGUUAUGUCUCUCACUUAGGCCGGUGCAAAUACGAAAUGGUACAUUUUUUGUUAUUUUGAGGAUAAAUCGACUGUUAUCUCUAUAUGUUCUCUGAGUGCAUACUUAGAUUAAGUUAUCUUAGCCUAUUUCAUGUGCUUGGAGACCAUGGGGAGGUGCUACCAAAAUUUUGUUGAAACUCAUGAAAUGUACUCAACGUGUUUGCACUAGUGAAGAGACGCAUCCAAUAACGGGAUAGAAGCCUUACCCCUGUCCUAUGGAGAUACUAGGUAAAUCUAAUUCACGCAUGAAUAUCCAAAUUAACUUAAUGCGUACUUCUGUGUAGUUAAAUAUGUCAGCCGACCGGAGUUGGAUGUACCGUAGCAUACCCAGUGAUGGGAGGGGAUUAGUCUCAGCUUAUCGUGUUGGGGUUUUAGAUUUCUUAAACAAAGCACUAGAACAUACGGAUGAUCCGAAUGGGAAGAUGCGAUGCCCGUGUGUCAAGUGUAAAAAUCUAAUUUGGAAGAAAGUCGACGAGAUUAAAUUCGACUUAUUGGCUGAGGCGUGUUCCAUGAUCCGAACGGGAAGAUGGAUGAGGCGUUGCAAUAAGAUGUGAGCAACCCAUUGGCCGUAGUGUUCCAUGCUAAAGAUGUGGUGAGUACUGAUGUCAUUGAUGUACCUAAUGAUGAGGAUGUCGAGGCCAACGUACACAUGAAUGAUUAUGUAGUCAUUGAGGAUGAUAACGAUGACAAAACUGAUCUCGAAAUUGAGGAUGAGGAAGAUACCAAAUCCGAGAAUGAUAUACACGUUGAUUCUGAUGGGUUUGAUGACGUGCGUAAUUGAAAAUGAGCUUUCAUAUCAGUACUUACCACAUAUUGUUAAACGUUGCAUAUUCGUAAUCUACCAAUUUUGUUAUUGUAGUAGGAUAUUCAUGGCUAGACAUAGCGGUGGAGGUCACCGAGGUGGUGGGCGAUCCGGUACUGGAGACGGUAGCCACGAUGGAGGCUCUUCUUCAGGCGCGAGUAAGUUAUCUUAACUAGGAUUUAAAUUUAUAUCAAGCUGCAUUAAUUACAAUGAUUAUUGAAGUACUAUGUUAAAAACAAUUAUUACAGAUGCACCUCGUCGACGACACCGAGGGACGAACCUUGGUAUCUUUGGUCAUCUGCCGGCAGUGCCACUUACAGUAUCGGUGGAUGUCGUUUCCCAGCAGUAAGUGUUAAUAUAUUCAUAAAAUUUCUAUCAGUUAUUGAAAAACACAAUUCACAUAACACAUAUUGUUAUACUUUUUCUGUAGUAUACUAGACCCGGUGGCUAAGCACACCUUACACGCGAUUUGUUUGACGCAUCUCCCGAGAGGGUACAUGUGGUUCAGUCAGUAUGCGAGGUACGAUGCCACUUUUAUGCAGACCGUCUUGCGGGAGUUCCACGUAAGUUAAGCAUAUUAUCACUACAUAGUUGUAUUGGGAUGACGAAAUCAAUUGUUCUUAAUUUUAAAUAAUCUUUUGUUAUAGGUUUAUUAUCGAUUUGACCCGAGCAUCUCUCAGUCAGCUGGCGAUGAUGUGAUUGAGCAUCACGUCACUGCGAAUUACUUUGGAUGGCUGUAUGAGAUACGCCAGAAGGCAGCCCGGGCAGUUGUGGACCAGCCCGAGACCACCAUCAGAGAUCAUCAGCCCCGCAUAGUCUCCGAUUUAGCCUGGGAGGCUAUGUGUGCGCACUAGAAGGCUGAUGACUUCAAGAAAAAGUCUGAGCAGGCGAAGAAAAACUGUGGUCAGCUCCGGAUAGUACACACCACUGGUUCUCAGUCGUUCGAGGAGGCUAAGAUGGUAAGUGCGUUGUAUUUAGUUAUUUGUGUGUCAAGUUCUCACACAAAUACUUAAGACCUAUUUUAUGAAUGUUUGUAUUAGGCAUUGGGGAUGACCUUGGGCCGAGAUCCUACCAUUCUAGAGUUUUGGGAUCGAGCCCACAAGCCUAAGGAUGAGCGUGCUUUGUCUCAAGCAGCUUUAACUAUACGGGUAAAACUCAUCUUACUAUUAGCUUUUAAUAAUAUUCAAUCAUAAAUAAAAUGAUAUAAUUAACAUACGUAUACAGAAUACAUUAUAGGACCGAUUUUAGAGGCUUCGGGACGAGCGUAUAGCUGAGCUAGAGACUAUUAGGAGGGGUUCUGAGUCGUUAGAUUCUGCCACCCCUCUUCCUGAUAUUGUAUUAGAUCGAGAUGAGGAACUGAGACUAUGGGUCGCGUCUCAAGAUCCCCCUACUAGUAGUACCGACAGAUAUCGAGUGUUGGGUCUGUCGAGGAUACCCGCAUAUACACUUCCUGGAGGUAAUAUUUUUUUAUGUUUCACGAAAUUAUUCGAAUUUAUCACAUUAUAUAAAUUAUUAUUAGUAAUCGAAUUUGUAUCUCUUUAUAGGCUCCAGCCAGCGCCAACGUCCUAGAGCACAUGUCAGACCAUCUCAUAUGGGCGCUGGCUUGGAUGACGAUAUCUUCCAGCGGCUGAUAGGGGCCGUGUCGGAUAGGUUCAAUACCGAUUUGAUCUUUCAGGGUCAGCAGUUGUCUUCCAGUUCUCGUCUUCACCAGAUUACUCAGGAUAUUAUAGCAGGGGCCUCUGCAGAGAGUACGAGAUUACCACUGAAGCAGUUCGACGCUUGGAGCGCCGAGAUGCUCCGGAUGGUGAUUACCCUCUUGGAGAAGGCUUUUCGUCCGCCCCCACCUACUCAGGUAUUCUUAUUGUUUAUGUUUUUCAAUUAAGGCUAGUUUGUUAAUUCUCACAUAUAUAUAUACAAACUAAUGAUUUAUAUUUUUGAUUUUAUCAACAUGGUGGGGAUGGCGAGCAGGCUAGCGUGAUGAGUAGGAGCACGAGGCUGAUUUCCAUACACCAGAGCAGCGUCGUUCACCUCCGCCCGAUGAUGAUACUUUUACUAAUUUAUAGUUCAUUUGUAUAUAUUCAUGUUAUUGUAAAACUUUUGUAUAUAUUGUAUUGUCUAAUUGCGUCUAUACAACUAUUGUAAAUUAUAUUGUUUAACAUUUAUGGAACAUUAACUUAUAUUUGUAAUUGGUUAGCUUAUAAUACGUUUUGGUGGAUAUUUGAAUGUGAAUAUGAAUGAUAAUGAGUUGAAGAUUAAGUUUUAGUGUUAUGUUGCAUAUUUGAAUGUGAGAUACAGGUUUAUAUUACUGUGUAUUGGGUUGUGAUAGGUUACAAGUACAUUAAUGGGUUUAAACACCUGGAAACUGAACUUUUAAAAUCUGCAUUUAAAAAAAAUAGUUAAUUCCGACGGAAUAGGGUAUUUUCGACUGAACUUCCCUCGGAGGUAACAAAUAACCAAUUUUUAAUAAAUGUCAAAAUAUUCUAAUUUCAGUCGUAAAUACGUUAUCUUCGACAGACAUUCCGUCGACGUUAAUAAUUAGUCAAUUUUAAUAAAUAUUGGGUUAUUUUAGUUUUCAGUCGGAAAUAAGAUAAUUCCGAGGGAAUAAAUCUGUCGGACAUAGGUGCUGUUAUAUUCAACGAAAAGUUUCGUCCUAUAUAUUCUGUCGAAGAUAGUUCAUGCUCGACGAACAUCCGUUGGAGAUACGUUCGUCGAGGAUAAUGAAUAUCCGACGGAAUUUUUGACGGAUCUUAUUUUCGACGAGAAUAUUUAUGACUGAAUUUCUGACGGAUAUUUUCGUUGGAAAUAAUAUAUUUUUGACGGAAUAGGAUUAGUUCCAACGGAAUAGUCCAUUGGAAAUAAUCUUUUUUCUUGUAGUGUGACAUUGCCCCCGUUGAUAUCGGGUCAUCAUGGUAGGUUUCAACUUUAAUAUAUCCAAUUAGAUUGAUAUUAUUAUGUGAUUACUAAAUUAAAAUGUUCCAUACAAAUUUUGUUUUCUAGUAUUAUGGAUUCAGUCGCUAAGUAGACUGUACACGCCAUAUGCCUGCCGCAUCUCCCGACUGGCUGCAUGCAAUUUAGCCAAUACUUGUGUUACGAUGCCAUCUUUAUAGUGACAGUAUUGCGGGAGUUUCACGUAAGUCGAAUUACAUAUACUAAAUCAAGGUUUAAGUUAUUUAUAUAUUGUUCAAAUAAUUAAUUAUACGUACGUUAUAUCCGUUUGAUAGAGGUAUUAUAGAUACGAUCCCAACAUCACUGAGGCAGAUGGUGACGUCGUUAUUAUUACGCACAUCUCGAAGAACUAUUCUGACUAGCUGUACGAGAUGAAUAUGAGAGCAGUCCGGGCAAUAGAAGAAUCUCCUGGGACUACUAUACGCCAGCAUCAGCCGCUGACACUAUCAAAUGCAGCAUGGGUUGCCAUGUGUACAUAUUGGGAUAAUGCUACCUUCAAGACCAAGUUUGAGCAGAUGAAGAAGAAUCGAGGCCAGCUAUGGGUUGUACAUACUUCUGGCUUGUAGUCAUUUCAGGAGGUUAAGUCGGUAAGUAUUUAUAUUUAGUUUAAUUUAAUAUUAAACUAUAACUAUAGUAAGUUUGGUAAUAUUAAUUAAUGUAAUGAUUUAGGUCAUGCAGAGUAGCUUGGGCCGACCUCCUACUAUGAUGGAGUUAUGGGAUAGAUUCCAUACGCCGAAGGAUUCUACUUUAGGGUCGACGAUGUCUCCAGCAACACUAGCUAUACGGGUAAUACAUUUACUAUAAUAUCUGUAAUUUAGGAUCAUAUUAUGUAAUUUAUAGGAUGAUACAAUGUUACCUCACAUGUACAUAUAUUAAAUUAUAGGACCGGUUUGAGAAGUUCCACAACUAGCGUAUAGCAGAGUUGCAGGUUGCUAGGGGCGAUGUUGAGAUGGCUGAUCCCACCGUCCCUUCACCCGAGAUUAAUUUAUCUCAGGAUGAGGAGACGACUCUUUGGGUCGCGUCUCAGGAUACUCCCACUAGCACUACCGGCUGGUAUCGAGUGCUGGGGUUGCCGAGGAUACCAGCCUAUACACUACCUGGAGGUAUAAUAUUUUAGUUUAUUUCUUAUUUAUGAAUAAAGUAAACUUAAUUAUAAUAUUAUUCAUGUAAUAUUGAUUUUUGUAGGCUUUAGCCAGUGUCUGCGUCCGAGAGCCCCCGUGGGACCAUCACAUACGGGCGCUGGCUUAGACGAUGCUUUGUUCCAGCGGGUUGUGGCUGCCUGCUCGGAGAGGUUUGAGACGGAUAUGUUAUUCCGCCGUCAGGAUCUGCCCAGCCAUUCUCGCCUCCAUCAGCUUGCGCAGGACAUUGCUUCUGGUGCCACCGUCGAGAGUAUAGGUAUCCCUCCAGAGCAGUUCACCGCUCUACGUGGUGAGGUUGUUUGGAUGGUGGUUACCUUACUACUGGACGCGUUUGGGCCGUUGCUGAGUCAGCCUUCGACUACUCAGGUAUACUAUUUAUAAUAUAAUUCAAGUAUAUAUUCUGCAUGUUAUGUAAUUUUCAUUUAAUUAGUUAUCUUUAACUGUAUUAUAAAUAUGGACUAAUGAGUUACAUUAUAUUGUCUCAAUAGGGUGACGAUCGGGCUGACGAUGCUGAGCGAUUAGAUGACGACGGCCCGUGACAUAGUUUUGUAUAUGAUUUAUAAAUAUUUACUUAGUUUUUAUCUUAAUGUGAUGUAAAUUUUAAUAGUUUAGCUAAUUUUUGACGUAUUGUAGCUUUUAUUUAUCAUUACUUUAGUUUGACAUAUUUACGUUAGUUUAAAUGCAUAUUUGAUAUACUUUAGUUGAUUAGAACUUUAGUUUAAUGUCAUAUUCAAGUUGGCCUUGGUAAUUAAGAUUCAUGUUGGCCAUUAUUAUUGGCAUUGGAUUAUAUUUGUGUGUUAUGUGUUGUUGGGAAAAAAAAUAGUUUUAUAGAUACAAAAAAUGUGGGUAUUAUUACCUUGGAUAUUGCCAAAAUAGAAAAAAUAUUUUUUUUAAAAAAGGGCUAAAGUCGACAGAAUAGCACUAUCCUCGACAGAAUUCUGUCGAGAUUAAGCCACUUCUAAAUUUUUGUGGGAUGCCACGUGUCAUGUUUAGUAUCGAUCGACUAUUCUCGAUGGAUGAAAUUCAGUCGAACAUAUAUUAAUCUCGACCGAAUAUUCCGUCGAGGUUAGUUCGGUCGAGGAUAUAUAUCUCCGACUGAAAUAUCGACGAACUUAAUUUUGACAUACUUAUAUCCAACUGCAUUUUUGACCGAAUAUUUCGUCAGAAUUAACAUAAACUCGACGGAUUAUGCUUAAUUCUGAUGGAAUAUUUCGUCAAAAAUAACCCUUUUUGUUGUAGUGACUUAUAUAUAUAUAUAUAUAUAUAUAUAUAUUAUAAUAAAUUUUUUUNNNNNNNNNNNNNNNNNNNNNNNNNNNNNNNNNNNNNNNNNNNNNNNNNNNNNNNNNNNNNNNNNNNNNNNNNNNNNNNNNNNNNNNNNNNNNNNNNNNNNNNNNNNNNNNNNNNNNNNNNNNNNNNNNNNNNNNNNNNNNNNNNNNNNNNNNNNNNNNNNNNNNNNNNNNNNNNNNNNNNNNNNNNNNNNNNNNNNNNNNNNNNNNNNNNNNNNNNNNNNNNNNNNNNNNNNNNNNNNNNNNNNNNNNNNNNNNNNNNNNNNNNNNNNNNNNNNNNNNNNNNNNNNNNNNNNNNNNNNNNNNNNNNNNNNNNNNNNNNNNNNNNNNNNNNNNNNNNNNNNNNNNNNNNNNNNNNNNNNNNNNNNNNNNNNNNNNNNNNNNNNNNNNNNNNNNNNNNNNNNNNNNNNNNNNNNNNNNNNNNNNNNNNNNNNNNNNNNNNNNNNNNNNNNNNNNNNNNNNNNNNNNNNNNNNNNNNNNNNNNNNNNNNNNNNNNNNNNNNNNNNNNNNNNNNNNNNNNNNNNNNNNNNNNNNNNNNNNNNNNNNNNNNNNNNNNNNNNNNNNNNNNNNNNNNNNNNNNNNUUUUUUUUUAAAACAACUAAAAAUAAAUAAAUUAUGGAACUGAAAUUUUUCCAUAAUACAAUGUUUUGGGCGAAAUUAUGAUACCUAUACCAAAAAAUAUAUGUAUAAUUUGAACAGAAUGUACAAAUAUGUUUUAUUAUAUGUAUCUAAAUCACACCCAAAAUACUGUAUUAUGUAAAAAUUCUAGUUCCAUAAUUAUUUAUUUAUUUUUUUUAGUUGUUUUAAAAAAAAAAGCAAAAAAAAAAGUCUGCAUUUUAAGAAAAUGCGGGAGUCCGGAUAGGAUAUAGAAUAUAUAUAUAUAUAUAUAUAUAGAAUGUAUAUAUAUAUAUAUAUAUAUAUAUAUAUAUAUAUAUAUAUAUAUAUAUAUAUAUAAGCUUUAACUAUUUUCAUAAUAUAGAUAUUUAACCUUCCAGUCUAUGGACUAGAUUUGCCUAAAUCUAGCUAUUUCUACUUUUGACCCGUUCAAAAGUGACUAAACUGGAACCGUUGAAGCUAGAAUGGUUUGGAUUUAUUCAAAUCUAGUUCUUUUUCUAGCUUUUGUACAUAUUACUCUUUCAUGUGAGCCUAGGAAUCAUGUGAUCGAAGAUUCAGUCUCUGAAUCUAGAUUCGAUUCCCACGAUGGACAUUUCUCAGCUACAAUCAACUUGUAAAUUAUUAACGGUGUCUGGAUAUCCUUAGAUGGCUCUCAUGCCCACAAGGAGUUCAGCAAUGCUAUGUAUCUUAUUUUCUUAAAGAUGCCUCGCAUCUCGAAAAUAAUAAAAGUAAUCAAGCCAAAUACAUAAUAAAAUGGAAGUAUCAAAGGCCUCAAUUACUAUUGAGUAUAAGGGUUUAAAAACAUGAUUUCCAAAACAUCAGUGCUAUAUCUUGUUAAAAUUAAACUUUUAUAUACAAGUCAAACCCUUUGUGUAUAGGUGCAAACGAGGCAUAACACUACUUCUAGAUAAUUGCACAUAGGCCCAACACACACAUACACACACAUAUACGCAGUUAAAAGUUAAUUGAAAAAUGGUGGUAACCAUGUUUUCACGGAAGUCGGGGGCUGCCUAACACCUUCCCUUCGCUUAAUCAUGCCCCCGAACCUAAUGAAUCUCGAUUUCCAAGACCAGUUAAAGAGUGUCUAACCAUUGGAUCUUUGUGAAAAUCUUUUCAAGAUCGUUUGAGUUAGUACAACCAUUUCAAAUCUACCAACUAGCGACUCUAAAAGUCAAAUCGUCGACAUUUACAUGUCGGACCUUUUCAAACUUGUCUUUUCAAAUAAAACUCACCCAAAAUGAGAACACCAAAAGACAAGCACAGAAAGUGACACCAAUUAUCCCGACGUCGACACUAUGCUCAAGUCAUAUGCUUACAUGUAUGCUUAAAUGUUAAUCAUAUGCUUACAAGUAUGCUCAAGUCAUAUGCUUACAAGUAUGCUCAAGUAUUAAUCAUAUGCUUACAAGUAUGCUCAAGUUAUAUAAUUACAAGUAUACUUAGAGAGCCUGACCAUGCUAUACAUUAAUAAGCUCAUGUUGUCAAAAUAGGUACCAUGGUAUCAUGGAUUUCUAUUUAGACCAUAGUUGGAUGAGACGAUGAAAGUCUAGUGCCUAGAUAGGUGCUACAACUGAAUUUAGAAUUGGUUGUCAAGUGUUUCUGGAUUAUGCGUAUAGUCAUCCGAAGUGUGUGAAUAGAUUGAACAAGAUAAGAUACUCUUGUUUAAAGUGUAAGAAUGUAAAUUAUAUGGACAUAGAUAUAGUAAACUAUCAUUUACUUAUUUCAGAGUUCAUGAGAAAUUACGAAAAAUAUUGGUGGGAACAUGCGCAGAGAAGAGAGUGGCAUCACACAAGUACAUAAUCCAGGCAGAAGUAUUUAUCGAAUGAAUGGCAUGGUUCAUGAUAUUGCAGGGCCACAUUUUGAUUGGGAACAAGGCAGAUAACAACCUAUGAAUUCUAAUGUCAAAGUGUUCCUUAAGUUGUUAGACGAGGGUAGCGAGCCGUUGUGGCAUGGUUGCACCAAGCACACUACAUUGUCUGCAGUGGCGACAUUACUUAACAUUAAGAUUGAUCACAACAUGGGCCAUGAGUGUUUUGAGUCCCUAUUGAAGGCCAUUAAGAGUAUGUUGCCUAAUGGUGAAAAAUUUCCCGAUAACUACUCCUAUUGUAAGAAAAUGGUGAAGAAGUUGGGUCUUGGAUACUAAAACAUCAAUGCAUGUCUGAACGAUUGCAUGUUGUUUUACAAGGAAAAUGAACAUAAAAUAAAGUGCACGUUUUACAGUCAUGAUCAAUUCAGGCCUAAUAAAGACACUUUCCUAUUUUUGGAAAUUUAUAUUUUAACAAGGGAAAUUGAUAUUUCCACAAGGCUCCCCUCAUAUGAAUAUUAAACAUGACCCACAUUCAUAUAAGUCAGAUGUAAGACCCCAAAUUUUUAAUAAAUAAAAUUAAAUUUUCUCUAUUCAUUAUCGUGAAAUAAUAAGGAGUUAAUUUGAUACAAUACUUUGGUUAUGGGUGAAAUGUGCAAAUUUUGCAAAAUAAGCAAUUGGUUAUAAAAUAUUCAUUGUUGUCGGGGAAUAUUCGUUUGGUCGUGGAAUAUUCUUGUUGUCGGGGAAUAUUCGUACGAUGGCGCAGCCAUUUGUGGGCCCCAUAACGGAAAACAGUCAGAUGAAGAAAAUGACAAGUUUUAGUUUUUAUAAAUAACAGCAUAAUUAUUACCGUUAACACUGUUGGAAUACCCGGUGGUUAAAGUACAGUGAUACGCGUGGUUACACAGUAGCACACGGUAUUGCACAAUAUUGUUGGAUUAUUGAUUCUUACGUAAGAAGACACUACUCAAUAAUUUUUAUAGUAAUUAUUGUUCAAUAUUUUAUUUUAUUGAUUCAAUAAUUUUUACGUUGAUAUUUUAUAUUAUUGUUGUUUCAAUAAUUAUCACUGCACAGUAUUUCCAUUAUCAGAUCAAUAAUUUAUAUUAUUUGAAUAAUAUUAUUAGAUAGCAUUAUUGGCUAUGUCUAAGGAAGUUCUGUCUAGAAAAGGGGUUUGGUCAUCUAAUUGCGCGCCAGUAAGGAGAAAUCCUUAUCAGAAAGCCCCCUCUUUCCUAGGAACGACCCGGUUGUCAUAAUUGUGAUUCUGUAAUAUUAUUUGUGAAUAAUUAAUUAUUGAUUUAUAUGAUAAGAAAAUAUUUAUUUUAUAUGGAUAUAAAUCAUGGAUAGGAAAAUAUUUAUUUUGUGUGGAUAUACAUGAAGGAAUUAAUGCUGAGGCAUUUUAUCAGUAUUUUGUCGAAAUGGAUGUAUUAAAAACCAUCCGUAUGUGGAUUUUGGACAUUUUCUGUUUAGAAUUUAGAAAAAUUUCCUUCUACAAAGUUGUAGAGAAUUUAAUUUCCUAUGGAAUAGACAUAAAAUUCGUAUUUUUCUGAUAAAAGAGCUAUUUAUUAUGAAUUAUUGAUGUUUCGAAAAUAAAUAUUUUUAUUAAAAACAUGGGUGGGCCCCACUUUUGGUUGGUGUGGAAAUUCUGAACUUUAGUGGGCCCCACUUGUGAUGGCUAAUAAUUUGGUCAAAUAAAUGUGCUUAGAAAAAAAAUUAUUAUUUUAUUAAUUUAGUCUGCUUUGGCGUUUUGGCAUUUUCCUAUAAAUAGGUGCUUAGGUUAGAAUUAAAAAUCACACCAGAAACAUAAGUUUUCUCUCUAUAUAUUACCGAGAGUAUUUUUGUGAGUAUUUAGAUACUUUGAGAGUUGCUAUUUAAUGCAAGUUUCCUUCAACAUUUAAUCCGAUAUUCCAAUCAGAAGUACUGUUCUUUUGAGGUAAGGGAUGUUAUUUUCUUCAUAAAUGAUAUUAUUUCUUUCAAUACCAUUAUGCCGAAAUAUUGGUAUGAAUAUUAUUAUGGAACUUCUACCUUUUUGUGUCAGGGUUACUAUUUACGUAUAUGACACUAUUCACGUAUACGACACUAUUCACGAAUAUGACAUUAUUCACCGAAAAAUGCUUCUUUGUCCAAGAUGUCUAUUAUGGUUACUAUCUUUGAUUGUAUCCAUGUUUUGAUCUUUAUUUUUGAAUUCUGUUCCAUAAUUGAUUAUUAUGGAGUAUUUUUGAACUUGGAUUAUCUAAAGUACGAAUCCCUAAUCUUUGUUCUUUUGUCUCACUGGAUUCAUUUUUUAAAAAUAUUUUUCUACAUCCUCAGUCCUAAAUGAUGAUAUAACUGAAUAUCUUUGGCCUGUAGUGCAAAGAUGAAUGAUUACCUGAUGAAUAUCUUUGGUCCGUAGUGCAAAAAUGAACAAAUAUUGAUAUGAACAUGACCAACUGGUGAUACGAAUGAAUAUAUUUGGCCCGUAGUGCAAAGAUGAAUAUUUGAUUCAAGAUGUAUAUUAAUUGAUGUUACAGGGAUAAAAUAUUGAUGAUGGACAUUUAAAUUCAUAGAUGAUAGUAGAUUUCAUUCUCUACUUAACUCUUCUAAUGAACUGUUGUUUCCACUACAGUUGUUGAUCUAAAACUUGUUAUCUAUUAUAUUCUAUCAGAUUUUUUCCUGUUGAGGACUAAGGAUAAUUUGUUGUACAUUAUCUUAGUCAUAAUAUACUUUACUGGGCUAGUUGAGCUCACCCUUUUUUCCUUUUUGUUCCAUUUUUCUUCUCAGGAGGUGAGAAUUUAGCAGGAACUAGCUGGGGUAUGGAGUGAUAAUUCAAGAUAGUUGUUUUAGUAGUCCUCACUAUUUUGUAAAAUAGUGUAUCAAUAAUUGUAAUGAGGACUUAUUUGAGUGUGAAUAUUGUCUAGAAGAUAAUAUUUGUAUUAAAAUUCAUAGUUUAUGUGUUGUCGUAUUUUUCACGAUAAUUGUAUUAAUGAAGUUAUAGUUGUUUCUGUACCAUGUAUUUGGCGACUCAAAAUGGGUGAUGUAUACCUAUUUUGGGGGCGUCACAGUUGGUAUCAGAGCUUAGGGAUAUGGUCUCUAGUGGAGAUCGGGGAAUAGAACUAGGAGGGGAGAGACGAGUAAAUCCUUAGCUAGUGUGUCCUACCUAAGCCUAUUUGUUAUUUGUUAGUCGGUUAGAAUAUAGGGGUAUUAUGUGGUAUGUCAUUUUCUUUAAUUAACCCUUGUUUUGUGGCAGAAUUUGAGAAUGGCAGUUGAAAAUGUUUACAUGGAGUGUAUGAGAUUGUGGAAACACCUUUAAUCACCAACCAGGAGAACGUGCAACAGGAUAGCAAUAUUCCUCCUAUAAAUAACACUACCAAACAAACGAUGAAUGAUGGGAUGUUUAGAAGCUUUUUGCAGUUAAUGCAAAAUCAGACGAGGGAGACUUGUGUACAAAAUACGGGUGGAAAUGAUAGCAGGGCGCGGUUUAUCACAGCCAAGCAGUUCAAAGAGUUGUGACAACCAGAGUUCUGGGGAAAGCCGGAUCCGAUUAAGGCAGAAACUUGGGUCAAGCAAAUUACCAAGAUAUUCGAUGUCUUGGGAUGCACGGAGGAACAAAAGGUUCCAUUCACCACCUUUAUGUUCCGUGGUGUGGAAGAUUACUGGUGGGAAUCUGUGAAGCGUACCCAACUAGCCGCACUCAAUAUGUCUUGGGAAACAUUUCAGAAAUUGUUCAAUGAUAAGUACUUUCCUGAAAGUAUUCGUUAUAUGAAGGAGAUAGAGUUUAUUAGACUGGAACAGAACAACAUGAUGGUGUCCCAGUACGAGGUGAAGUUUGUGGAGUUAUCCAGGUUUGCACCUCAUUUGGUAGAGAAUGAGGAACGUAUGACGCAGAUGUUUCUAAGAGGUCUAAAAUCUGAAAUUUGUCAAUACCUUAUCUCUCAAAAAAUUUCUCUAUAUUCAGAUGUUGUCAACAGGGCUCAAUUAUUAGAGCGAGAUAAUGAGUAUGUUCAACCGAGGGACCACAACCAGGGUCAUACCAGUGACAGCAGUCAUUGGAGCAAUGAUAACCAGCGGGGAGGGAAAAAUAUGAACAAAAGCAGUAACCACUCGGGUGGUAAUCGUGGCCAUGAUAAUAGGAGAGGUAAGUUAAGUGGAAAUUUAAAAAAGAGGAGAUUCAACAAUGACGGGAAGACAUCAGCUGCAUCACCAGCACCAAUAAUAAAUUCUAGGGGAGGAGAGCGACCGCCAGUUAGAUGCUACAGAUGCGGAGAGGAUGGACAAAUAAGUCCAAAUUGUUCACAGCCUUCCAAGGUGUGUUUCAGUUAUGGAAAAGACGGUCAUAUAGCCCGAUUUUAUCCGGUAGCAAAGUCAAGUCCAACUAGGACGAUGGCACCAAAGGCGACUACGGACAAAACAAAGUCGGUGGUUCAAGGGAGAGCGUUUGUCGUGACUGGCCAAAAUGCGAGAAACCCGAACGAGGUGAUCACGGGUAAGCUAAUCUUAAACUCUUGUGAAGUUUAUACCUUACUAGAUAUCGGUUCUACCCAUUCUUUUAUCUUUCCUGCUUGUGCUCAAUGUUUAAACUUGACUCCGGAGAAAUUAGACUUUGACUUAUCUGUUGAAACUCCGUUAAGAGAAACUUUUGUUACAUCCACUAUUUAUAAAUCUUGCUUGAUCCAAGUUGGCACCAUCACAUUACCUGUUGAUCUUAUCUCUUUAAAGAUACUUGCAUUUGAUGUGAUUUUAGGGAUUGAUUGGUUAACUACUCAUUAUGCCAAAAUUGAUUGUUUUCGUAAGGUUGUUAGUUUUCAUAUUCCUAACCAACCUGUUAUGCGAAUUCAAGCAACUAAAGUCAAUCACUGUAAUAUCAAGCCAUAAAGCCAUUCGUUUAUUAAAAACGGAUGUCAAGUUUUGUUAGCCCAUGUUAUGGACUUGAAUAAAAACACGUCAGAUUUGAAUAAUAUUUCUGUUGUUAGUGAAUUUCCUGACGUAUUUCCUAAAGAACUUCCCAGUCUACCCCCAGAAUGUGAAGUUGAAAUCUUUAUUGACCUUGAACAGGGUACAAAACCCAUUUCUAAAACCCCAUAUCACAUGGCUCCUAUUGAACUUUAGGAGUUAAAGGUCCAGCUACAAGAGUUGUUGUACAUCGUUUCCAUUCGUCCUAGUAUAUCUCCUUGGGGUGCUCCUAUUUUAUUUGUAAAGAAGAAAGAUGGGAGUAUACGAAUUUGUAUUGACUAUCGAGAAUUGAACCAUGUCACCAUCAAGAAUAGGUAUCCGCUACCUCACAUUGAUGACAUGUUUGACCAGUUGUAAGGAGCACAAUUCUUUUCAAAGAUCGAUCUUCGUUCUGGAUAUCAUCAGUUAAAGGUUAAAACUGAGGAUAUUCCGAAGACUGCCUUUAGAACUCGGUACGGGCAUUGUGAAUUCUUAGUCAUGUCUUUUGGAUUGACUAAUGUUCCCACUGCUUUCAUGGAUAUGAUGAACCGUGUGUUCAAGGAAUAUUUGGAUCAGUACAUUAUUGUCUAUAUUGAUGACAUCCUCAUCUAUUUCAAAAGCCGUGAAGAUCAUGAGAACCAUUUGAAGCUGGUACUUCAAAGACUUCGUGAUAACAAGCUAUAUGCUAAGCUGAAGAAAUGCGAUUUCUGUCUUGAGGAAGUAGAAUUCCUUGGGCACGUGGUGUUAAAACAUGGAGUAUCUGUUGACCCGACGAAGAUUGAAGCAAUACAAAAUUGAGAGCAACUGAAGUCGAUGACCAAACACUACUACAAAUAGUAAAUAGAUAACGCAUAAAAAACGGUGUGGUUUGUAUCCCAGAAACGUCGUGGUUAAGGGUGUCAUCUAUUUGACACCCUUUAUACAAUGUUUUUAAAAUGUUAUGGUUUGUCACAUUUACAACAUUUUUUUCUUAAAAAACGUUGUAUAUUUAUUUUCCAGAAAUCAUUGGAUGCUUGAAAACGUUGUAGAUGGUAUGAUUCCACAACGUUUUCUGGCUUAAAAUGUUGUAAUUUGAUACAUCAUACAACGUUUAGACACAUUUAUACAACGUUUAGAAGGUGUCAUCUAUUUGACACCCUUUAUACAAUGUUUUUAAAACGUUGUAGUUUGACUUAAAAAUGUUUUAAUACAUGCAUAUAACAACUGUUUGGAUCUCUACCUUAGCAAGCAACAACAGACAACGUUUAAACACAUUUAUAUAAUGUUUAGAAGGUGUCAUCUAUUUAAAGUAAAAAUAUAUCAAACAUUCAAAAUAUACCAAUUACAAAUAAUAUUACUAUCCAUACAUCUCAAAUUCAAAAUAUACCAAUUACAAAGAAUAUUAAUACCAUACAAUACGUUUACAUCUCAAUAAUACCAAACUAUCCAUACAUCUCAAAUUCACUUUUCUAUAUAAUUACUACUAUAUUGAAUUGUGAAUUUGAAUACAUCCACAAAAUAUACCAAAUUAUCCAUAAAAUUAAACUACUACCUAAUUAAACUAUCCAUAAAAUAUGCCUUGUAUUCUAUUUGCGUCUACAAAGAAGAAUAGGAGAGAUUAAGAACAUUAUACUGGACAAAAUAGAAAAGUUAGCAAUUUAAUGAAUUGUCAUUAAAUACAAACAUGUAUCUGCUUGAACUUGAUUUAGACUCAUGUAACGAAUCCCUCAUUUUCCAAUUUGACUAGCAUCUAAAGUAACUUGUGCAUUUUUUAAUUCAACUGUCAGAUUAUUUUCAAGGACAAAAAAGGUUAUAACAAGAUAAUUGUGAUGAAGAUAUUUUCUACUACAAGAGCUGGUAUGCAGUUAAUGCAAAUGAAAUUUCAUCAGGAGAUGCAAAAUCUCGGUAGGAAUAAUAAUUAUCUUGUUAUAUUUACCUGCACAUAAGAAUGUGGUGUAAAAAUUUGAAAAGGUUGAUUUAUAGUCAAUUAAAAAUUGUAUCAACAGAAAAUAUGCAAGUAUAAAUAGUCUCACUGGAGAAAAGAAAUAACCAAUCGCAGCCACUUCGAUUAGAUGAGUUCCCGCUGGCAUAUUAUGGCUUUUAGCAAGAAUUAAGGAACUUCAUCAAAAAUAUAGAAUGAUUACAAGCAUAGAACUAGUAUGUUGGUUAUCUUUUGUCAUUGAAAACAUACUGCUUCUCAUUAUGCUCUAAAGAUUACAUAAUGCUAAAGGAUCUUCUUCUCACAUCUUUUUGGACACUUGUAGGAAGCAUGUAAUGUAAAGUCAUAUACUUUAUUUAACUGGACAUUAAUAUUAUUUUGUCUAACAGAAGAAAGCAUUUUCAAAAGAUUCACUUGUUUCUAAUGGAAACAAAGUUCUUCUGAGACAUAAUAUUGGUGACACGAAGGUAAAUUUAUUUAUCGAAGACAGAAAUGUCACACUUGAAAAAGAGUGAAGCUUUUCUAGAAACUAUGUACCUGAUGAAGAAUUAAAAAGAAGAUCUCUGAAACAUCAAAUGAUCUUUGAAGGACAACUGAGAGAUAUAAUGGUAAGUUUUUUCAUCAUUUUCAGCUAAUUAUUCUAUAUUUUAGCAAAAAUUAAGGAACUUCAUCAAAAAUAUGGAAUGAUUACAAGCAUAGAAUCUAGAAAUUUAUAUACAUACACACACACACACACACACACAUAUAUAUAUAUAUAUAUAUAUAUUGACAUGUAUAAAUAACAUAUUCUAAAAGAUCUAAUUUCUGUUAUAAGCUUUAGCAAGAUUAUGCACUUCCAAGAUAACCAAUUAGUGUGAAUGGGAGAAGGUAACUAGAUGCUUAUAAUUUAGAUGCAUAUCAUAAAAGUCCUCAAUUCUGUUGAACGAUGAAAUAUAGCUUAUAUAGCACAACAAGAAUAAGUACCUAAUUACAAGAUCAAGAAGAUAAAAACUUCUACAGGCACUUGACUUUGAAAAUUACGCAUCAAUAAUAGCUAUCGGUUCUCCAAUCAUAUGUAGGAAUUAGGCCAAAAUAAAGAUAGAUUGCAAACUAGACUCUUUUUAUAACGGAGGGAGUAUUAAGUAUCUCGACUGCAACAUUAAAAUCUAGGCAAUCACUUCACCAUAAACCAAAGGAUAUAGAAAAGAUUGAAGCAAUUCUACCUUUAUUAUUUUGUAGCUAGGCUUACGACAGUGUGUUUGAGAAUAUUAGGAUUUUAACACAUGAGUGAUUUAAUUCUAGCAUACAAGAUACUUUUGUACCAACUGGUUCCUUGUUGUUCUAUUAUGCCAACAACCAAGCUUAGCUUGGCCCCAUGAGGCUUAGCUAAGUUUGGUGUGGCCACACUUGGUCUCGCGGCCCCAACCACCACAUAGCAGUCACAAAUUGUUAGCUUUUUAUUCCCUUUAGCUUGUUUACCUUAACAACUUCAACCCAUUUCCUAUAGCCUUACAAUAAUUCUACAGUGUUUCAUGAAGUUAACAGUCAUUUAGAUUUGAUAAUAAGGAAGCUAAUGACACUUAAAUUGUCCUCAGCUCCUGCUGAGUUCCACAAGCUCAACACUGCCUUAGUAGCUCCAUGACUCUCCUUUGAUUAAAUCUCAAGUUAGUUAAUAGCUGGAAUGUGAUGCCCCCAAAAUAGGUAUACAUCACCCAUCUUGGGUCACCAAAUACAUGGUACAAAAUAUAAAUACAAACUUAAUUAUACAAAAUGAGCUGAGAGUUUUUACACGAAUAUUAUCUUCUAGACAAUAUCCAAACUCAAAUGGAGUUCUCAUUACAUUUAUUGGCACACUAUUUUAUAGAAUAGUGAGGACUACUAUAACACCAUCUCGGGCCAUCACUCCGUUCCCCGACUAGUUCCGGCUACGUUCUCAUUUCCUGAAGAGAACAAUGGAAGUAAAAGGGUGAGCUCAACUAGCCUAGUAAGAAAUAUUAUGACUAAGAUAAUGCAGAAUAAGUUAUCAUUAGCCUUCAACAAUGUUAAACUGAUAGAAUAUAAUAGACAACAAGUUUAACUGCAGCGGAACAAACAAUCCAUUAGAAGAGUCAAGUAGAGCAUGAUAUCUACUAUCUUCUAUGAUUUAAAAAGUUUAUCAUUAACUUUAUCGCUGGGACUCAGCUUAAUAAAUAAAUCACAUCAUCGAAUCAUCCCUGCACUACGAGCCAAGGAUAUUCAUUAGUAUCACGUCCACAAAUUAUUCUUGCACUACGGGCCAAGAAUAUUCGUGUAAUCAUCAAUGGUCAUGACUAUACCGAAUUAUCCCUGGUCAUAAUCAUACCAAUCAACAGUCCAUCUAUGCACGUAAUCCAAAGAUGACUUUCAUCACAAUAUAAGCAUGAGGAUGAUGACAAUGAUAUAAGAAUUCAAUUAAAAGAAAGUAAAUGAUAAAUUUUUAAAGAUUUAUAAUUUAAUUUAUCCAGAAUUUAAUAAUGUCCAAAUUUUUAACAUGAUACUACUUUGUAGAGUAAAAUUCAUGAAUAAUAUCCAUGUAUCAAAAAUAAUUUGGACAGAAAAGAAAUAAAUUUUUUGGUGAAUAGUACCCCGUGAAUAGUACCCUGUGAAUAGUACUUUAGGAAUAGUACCUCGUGAAUAGUAACCCAACAUAAAAAGUGCCCCAAAUACACAAGUGAACAAUAUUUGAGUGAAUAGUAAUUAAAUGAAUAGUAACCUAUGAAUAGUAACUUGUUAAUAGUACUCUGGCAUGAAAAGUGCCCCAAAUACCCAAGUGAAUAAUAUUAUAAUGAAUAGUAAUAGAGUGAAUAGUAACCCAUGUCCCUAUGAAUAGUACUUCAGGUGAAAAUAUUGAUAUUUAAUAAGAAAGUUCAUAUCAAUAUUCCAAUAAAAUGAUACUGGAUGAAGCACAAAACUCAAGGAUAUUCCACUAAUUUCAAGAAUUAUAGAAGCAAUACUUACCAUAGUAAGUUUAGAUUUAAGAAUAUGAAAAGAAUUAACAUACGAAAACUGCAAAUGGAUUUUCACCUGUCAUACAGUACGUAAUCCGCGUAGACAGGUUAUUCCAACAUACUAAAAGAUUAAUACUAAAAAUAGUAUUCCUUAUGAAUACGAAAGAAAUAAAACCCCUUACCUUAGUAGAAAGCUGGAUACUGCAAAAGUGAAGUAGCAGAAUACUCUUCUUCUUGCUCUCUAUAGUUUCUCUCUCUAUAGUGGCUCGUGUGAAUCUCAGUGAAUUGGUGAGAAUGAAAGAAGAAUUAAGUUUCUAUUUAUAGGAGAAUGGACUAAAUAGUAACUAAUUCACGAACGGUCCAAAUUGAUUCACUAUUAGAACGGACGGUCCAUAUUGAUUACUAUUAAAAUCACAACUGACGGUCCAGAUUGAUUUACUUUUAAAACCACCACCGACGGUCCAGAUUGAUUUACUUUUAAAACCACCACCGACGGUCUAGAUUGAUUUACUUUUAAAACCAACGUCGACGGUCCAGAUUGAUUUACUUUUAAAACCACCACUGACGGUCCAGAUUGAUUUACUUUUAAAACCAACAUCAAUGGUCCAGAUUGAUUUACUAUUAAAACCACCAUCAAUGGUCCAGAUUGAUUUACUAUUAAAACCACCACCAAUGGUCCAGAUUGAUUUAACUUAUUACGCAAAUAAUAAUAUGAAUAAUUUUGUUGUCUCAAUUAUUAAUUUAAUAAUAUAAAAUAUUAUGCAGAUGAUAAUGUGGCAAUAAUUAAAUCAAAUAACGUGAGAUACUAUGCAAUAAUUAUUGUAGCAAUAAUUGAGUAUAAAUGAGUGACUUCUCACGUAAGCAUUAAUAAUUAAUACCGUGUGCUACUAUGCAAUCACGCGUAUUAUUGUACUUUUACCACCGGUUAGUUCAACAGUUUAACGGUAAAACUUUCGCUGUUAUUUUUAUUAAAAGAUAUUUUUGUCAUUUUUUAACUACGACAAUACUUCCGUUAUGGGGUCCACCAAUGAUUGUGCCGUUGUAUGAAUAUUCCCUGUUAAACAAAUAUUCCCCGACCAAUCGAAUAUUCACUGACACAACGAAUAUUUUAUAUCAACUUACUUACUUUGCAAAAUUUUCCAAAUAUUACCCACAACUAUAACAUUAUAUCAUAUCCAAUCAACAGUCCAUCUAUGCACGUAAGCCAAAGAUGACUUUCAUCACAAUAUAAGCAUGAGGAUGAUGACAAUGAUAUAAGAAUUUAAUUAAAAGAAAGCAAAUGAUAAAUUUUUAAAGAUUUAUAAUUUAAUUUAUCCAAAAUUCAAUAAUGUCCAAAUUUUCAACAUGAUACUGCUUUGUGGAGUAAAAUUCAAGAAAAAUAUCCAUGUAUCAAAAAUAAUUUGGACAGAAAAGAAAUAAAUUUUUCGGUAAAUAGUACCCCGUGAAUAGUACCAUAUGAAUAGUACUUUGGGAAUAGUACCCUGUGAAUAGUAACCCGACAUGAAAAGUGCCCCAAAUACCCGAGUGAACAAUAUUUGAGUGAAUAGUAAUCGGAUGAAUUGUAACCUAUGAAUAGUACCCUGUGAAUAGUAUUUCGGCUGAUAAUAUUGAUAUUUAAUAAGAAAGUUCAUAUCAAUAUUCCAAUAAAAUGAUACUGGAUAAAGCACAAAACUCAAGGAUAUUCUACUAAUUUCAAGGAUUAUAGAAGCAAUACUUACCAUAGUAAGUUUAGAUUUAAGAAUAUGAAAAAAAUUAACAUACGAAAACUGCAAAUAGAUUUUCACCUGUCAUACGGUACGUAAUCCGCGUAGACAGGUUAUUCUGACAUACUAAAGGAUGAAUACAAAAAAUAGGAUUCCUUAUGAAUACGAAAGAAAUAAUACCCCUUACCUUAGUAGAAAGCUGGAUACUGCAAAAGUGAAGUAGCAAAAUACUCUUCUUCUUGCUCUCUAUAGUUUCUUUCUGUAUAGUGUCUCUUAUGAAUCUCAGUGAAUUGGUGAGAAUGAAAGAAGAAUUAGGCUUCUAUUUAUAGGAGAAUGGACUAAAUUGUAAAUAAUUCACGAACGGUCCAGAUUGAUUCACUAUUAGAACGGACGGUCCAUAUUGAUUACUAUUAAAACCACAACCGACGGUCCAGAUUGAUUUACUUUUAAAAUCACCAUCGACGGUCUAGAUUGAUUUACUUUUAAAACCACCACCGAAGGUCCAGAUUGAUUUAUUUUAAAACCACCACCGACGGUCCAAAUUGAUUUACUUUUAAAACCACCAUCAAUGGUCCAGAUUUAUUUACUAUUCAACCACCAUCAAUGGUCCAGAUUGAUUUACUAUUAAAACCACCACCAAUGGUCCAGAUUGAUUUAACUUAUUACGCUUUAGUACUCCUAAAGUUUUCCAAGUUUGCAUUAUUCCCCUCUAACUUUUGUAAAUCACUUAUCUUCAAUAAACACAUUCUUAAUACUUCAACAAUUAUUCAUCAUUAAUAUUAUAACUCACAAUAUUUAACAACCAGAUCGUUCCUAGGAAAGAGGGGGCUUUCCAAUAAGGAUUUCUCCCUAUUAGCGCGCAAUUAGGUGACCAAACCUCUCAUCGACAGAACUUUCUAGACAUUUUCAAUAUUGUAAAUAAUAAUAUGAAAAUUUUGUUGUCUCAAUUAUUGAUUUAAUAAUAUAAAAUAUUAUACAGAUGAUAAUGUGACAAUAAUUGAAUCAAAUAACGUGAGAUGCUAUGCAACAAUUAAUGUAGCAAAAAUUGAGUAUAACUGAGUGACUUCUCACGUAAGCAUCAAUAAUCAAUACCGUGUGCUACUAUGCAACCACGCGUAUUACUAUACUUUUUCCACCGGGUAGUUCAACAGUUUAACGGUAAAACUUCCGCUGUUAUUUUUAUAAAAAGAUAUUUAUGUCGUUUUCUAACUAUGACAAUACUUCCGUUGUAGGGACCACCAAUGAUUGUGCGGUCAUACAAAUAUUACCUGUUAAAACAAAUAUUCCCCGACCAAUCGAAUAUUCACUGACAGAACGAAUAUUUUAUAUCAACUUGCUUACUUUGCAAAAUUUUCCAAAUAUUACCCACAACUAUAACUUUAUAUCAUAUCUACACCAUAAUAUUCAAAAAUAUAUUUCGAGAAGAAUUAUUCUUUAUUCAAAAAAAAGUUGGGGUCUUACAUGGAAUCUGCAGUUUCACAAUAUUGGUCUGCUAAGCGAAAUCCAAUUGCCUAUUGUUGUUGGUAACAACUACUAUAAUUGGACAGUAGCUUGUUCUCUUGAUCCCCAACUUUUCUACCCCUUUAAAAAAAAAUUAUCUUAUUAACUGCAGCUAACAGAAAACCAAAAGGAAGCAAGCCCAAUUGCCAAAAUGGUUCCUAUUACAGUUUCAUGCUAACUACUGUUGCAUAUAGGCAGCAUCUGCACUUGUUUUAUUUUCUUGCUUUGAAUGUUCCCUAAUCUUAGUUCACUUACACAUUAUUUGAAAGUCAUACAACUAACAUUUUUAACUAUUAGGGUAACUUUAAAUCUAUAGUGAAAUUGUAAGGCUAUAGGAAAUUUGUAGCAUAACUUAGAUAUUAUAGCAACCUAUUAGCAAGAAAGUUAGGCUCAAAAUAGUGUUCAUAUAAGGCUUAACCUGUUGUCCCAAAAUAGUACCCAAGUUUUUUUAACUCUAGAUUUUUACAGUUAACAAAGGGGCUUUGACAAGGAAAAUGAUAAGCAUGUAUUCUUGGCUUAACCGCUGCUCAAAACAGAGGCCAAAGAACUUGUUAGGAUAAAAUUUCCACUAGUAAACUUAGCCAAAAACUGCUAUGUGUUAAAGUUUGACAUACCAAAUACUUUAAUUAACACCACAUAUGUUAAGUUAAUCAAGCCAAUGCCUUACUUUGUUUCUAAUAUUCAGUUCUUUUUACCAAAACAGUUCUUUUAGAACCUUUAUCAAACAGUUGGUAGGCAUGGUUUUAAGCUACCAGUUUCACAGCUAUUUCUUUAUGUCACAAACCCAUUUUGUUCUCCUUAUUACUCCUCAGCCCAUCCUAUCUCCUUGUGCCUAAAUUCAGUCCAUAAUAGUAUUGCAACAGCAUACCAGUCCAUUUAAUACAAUGACAGUUAGUAAAGCAACACAGGUAAUGCUAGCAGUCAGUCUUCAUAGCAAUAUAGUAUAGCAGUCACUAUAAUACACAAUAGUUAAUAUGGCAACUCUAACAUCCAUAACAGUCCUUCAUGCCUAUUCUAAGCUUUUUAGGCAAGGUUUGACACUAAAUUACCAAAAUAGUCAUUAAGUUUGCAACAUAAAGGUUACCACAUCAUGUAUAUGCUAUAUAUUCAUGCUUUAAGGAGCCUGACAAAAAGAAUUCUAGCUUCAGUUACAAAUAGCCCCUCUUAGGAUUCAAAUUGGUACAAAGUAGCAUGAUUUUGAAAAUUUCAGUUACUAAGCUAACAUGAUUAAGCAACAAAUAACAAAAGCUGGCUAUUUACAUAACAUCUAAUAGGUAUAGCUUUCAUUCAGAUAGCCUAUCUUAGCUCACACAUAGACAAUCCACAACCAACCUUUAAACUUUAGGCAUUAAUAUCUUUAAAAUGAGGCUUUUAAAGUAUCAUCAAUAUUAGCUCUUAAGGCUUGAUGUAAUUAUCCCCAUUUAUAACAUAAUAAUCAUAGUAGAAGAAAAUCAUAAUUAUUAUAAGAAAUCUUUUAAUAACAGUCACAAGGACUGCCUUUAGUUUCUUGAAUUAUAUCAUGCUUAAGCUUCACAAGUAUCAUGUUAUAGUAUAUUAACCAUAUUAGAAACAAGUAAUAGUUAUUACAAGUCAAGCUUCAAAUAACAGUCCCUAUGGAGCUUACUAUUUCAGUUCAUUCUUACUUGCUUUGCUCAAAUGUUAAAUUACCAUAGAUUGCAACUUAUAGUGAAACAUGAUAAGGUAAAAUAUAGAGUAUACUUGAGGUAUUGCCCCCACUAUAUGAGCAAUUUAACAAGGUUUGAACUCCAAAUCACAGUUAGUAUACAUAGAUGCUACAUCAGUCCUUAGUUUGGCAGUUUAUCAAACAGAUGGUGGGCAGUCUACAUAUCGUCACACAUUACUUAUAUUAUUAGCUUAGUGAUACCAGCCUUAUGGCUUUAAAACAAUAAUUUAGUGUAAUACAGUCCCUAAUCUCAUAGCAGUCAAUUUUUCAUCAAUUAACAUUCAUGUAGACAUAUGCUCUCAUUCACAGGUAUCAAUUAAUAACAGUAGUUUUAAUUACAUAACCAAUUAUGUGAAGCCGUCCUAGACAACCUCACCCAGCCACUAACAGUUCAAUUGCUAUCUUCUAAAGAAAUAGGAACGAAAGGAUUAGGAAGGCCAGAAUUAGCUUACCUUGUUGAUUCGAAGGUUACAAGUGGGUUGAGCUUCUCAGUUUCCCCUCCUUCUUUAGCCGAACUCUUCCACUCUCACUUUAUGUAGCUGAUAUUGAUAUAGAUUUUAGUCUCUGUUAAGUGGUGAAGCUAAAUUAGGCAAUAAGCUUGGCCCUUUUUAUGGCUGAACUUAUCUUCUCCUACUAGUAAUCCUAUCGCCUUUAGUUGGCCCCUACACAGCCACCUUGAAGCUCCCAGCCAUCAUUCCUAGUCUAGUUCACAUAGCCCCUUCACAGCAACCCUAGCAGACCCUAAC
rnacentral:lncRNA from 1 species